UGGGCUAUGUGUUUAAGGUUUGUGUUUGGUUCUGUUUGCUUUGGAGAUGAAGGUUGGGUUGCACCUUCGAGGAUCCAUUCUUCUGGAAGUGUAAUGUCUUUCCAUUGAAUGGUUUUUGGAAUAGUUGCGUUGGAUUUGGAUAGAUCUGUUUGUAGGAACAGUGUUUCUCCUUUUGGUGAGUGAAGUUUGUGUUUGGAACCAAAGGCAGAAAUCAUAGCUUUG
rnacentral:lncRNA from 1 species